UACGUAGGGGGCAAGCGUUAUCCGGAUUUACUGGGUGUAAAGGGAGCGUAGACGGACUGGCAAGUCUGAUGUGAAAGGCGGGGGCUCAACCCCUGGACUGCAUUGGAAACUGUUAGUCUUGAGUGCCGGAGAGGUAAGCGGAAUUCCUAGUGUAGCGGUGAAAUGCGUAGAUAUUAGGAGGAACACCAGUGGCGAAGGCGGAUUACUGGACGGUAACUGACGUUGAGGCUCGAAAGCGUGGGGAGCAAACAGG
rnacentral:rRNA from 1 species